GGCUGCUGAAUUAGAGAUCGGCACCCCUUUAUUUCUUUUAAUCUGGAGUACAACAUGUCUCUAAGCGUUGAAGCUAAAGCAAAAAUCGUUUCCGAGUUUGGUCGUGGUGC
rnacentral:ncRNA from 1 species